CUCUGAUGGUUCCUUGCGGUGAAACGCAGGGUGAAAAGGGAAAAUGGUGAGAUCACAUCUAUGAUCAAUUCCAUUACUAUGCCCGUAACUGUAAACGAAGAGCUAGCUCAAUAUACCACUGGGAAAACCGGGAAGGUGAGCGAAGCAAUUUAUUCGUAAGUCAGGAUACCUGCCAUCAAA
rnacentral:ncRNA from 1 species